rnacentral:rRNA from 1 species
UACAACAUAGCAUUAACGCAUUAGUUCCCAUUAAAACUUUGUUGUUAAGCGUGCUCAAGCUAGAGUAGUACUGGGAUGGGUGACCUCCUCAUAAGUCCUAGUGUUUUAC